UACGUAGGGUGCGAGCGUUAAUCGGAAUUACUGGGCGUAAAGCGUGCGCAGGCGGUUCGUUGUGUCGGUGGUGAAAUCCCCGGGCUUAACCUGGGAAUGGCCAUGGAAACUGGCGAACUGGAGUGUGGCAGAGGGGGGUGGAAUUCCGCGUGUAGCAGUGAAAUGCGUAGAUAUAGGAAGGAACACCAGUGGCGAAGGCGACCACCUGGACUGAUACUGACACUGAGGUGCGAAAGCGUGGGGAGCAAACAGG
rnacentral:rRNA from 1 species